UGGGGAAUAUUGGACAAUGGGGGAAACCCUGAUCCAGCCAUGCCGCGUGAGUGAUGAAGGCCUUAGGGUUGUAAAGCUUUUUCGCUAGGGAAGAUAAUGACGGUACCUAGUAAAGAAGCCCCGGCUAACUUCGUGCCAGCAGCCGCGGUAAUACGAAGGGGGCUAGCGUUGUUCGGAAUUACUGGGCGUAAAGCGCGCGUAGGCGGACGGUCAAGUCAGAGGUGAAAGGCCCGGGCUCAACCUGGGACGUGCCUUUGAAACUGAUUGUCUUGAGUGCGGAAGAGGGUGACGGAAUUCCCAGUGUAGAGGUGAAAUUCGUAGAUAUUGGGAAGAACACCGGUGGCGAAGGCGGUCACCUGGUCCGCAACUGACGCUGAGGCGCGAAAGCGUGGGGAGCAAACAGGAUUAGAUACCCCGGUAGUCC
rnacentral:rRNA from 1 species